UACGUAGGGUGCAAGCGUUGUCCGGAAUUAUUGGGCGUAAAGAGCUCGUAGGCGGUUUGUUGCGUCUAUCGUGAAAACCUGCGGCUUAACUGUGGGCUUGCGGUGGAUACGGGCAGACUUGAGUUCGGUAGGGGAGACUGGAAUUCCUGGUGUAGCGGUGAAAUGCGCAGAUAUCAGGAGGAACACCGGUGGCGAAGGCGGGUCUCUGGGCAGUAACUGACGCUGAGGAGCGAAAGCGUGGGGAGCGAACAGG
rnacentral:rRNA from 1 species